rnacentral:rRNA from 1 species
CGCAACCCUUAUCCUUUGUUGCCAGCGGUCCGGCCGGGAACUCAAAGGAGACUGCCAGUGAUAAACUGGAGGAAGGUGGGGAUGACGUCAAGUCAUCAUGGCCCUUACGACCAGGGCUACACACGUGCUACAAUGGCGCAUACAAAGAGAAGCGACCUCGCGAGAGCAAGCGGACCUCAUAAAGUGCGUCGUAGUCCGGAUUGGAGUCUGCAACUCGACUCCAUGAAGUCGGAAUCGCUAGUAAUCGUGGAUCAGAAUGCCACGGUGAAUACGUUCCCGGGCCUUGUACACACCGCCCGUCACACCAUGGGAGUGGGUUGCAAAAGAAGUAGGUAGCUUAACCUUCGGGAGGGCGCUUACCACUUUGUGAUUCAUGACUGGGGUGAAGUCGUAACAAGGUAACCGUAGGGGAACCUGCGGUUGGA